AGCUCCGUCCGCCUCCAUAGGUCAAACUUAAAGGGCCCUUAAUCUGGGAUGCCUCCGGCUCCAGGAAGAUGGCUAUUGAAAGGCAGGGGGUGGGGAGAAGGGACCGAGGAUGUGGAGACGCGCCUGUUCCUUGCAGGAAACCUGUUGCCAACAUAGUCGGAAGCCAAGCCCUCCCGGAGCCGGUGCCGGCCCGCGAGCCCCAGCGUCUCUGCAGACCGGUCCCCUCCCGGGUCCGGCGGGGCCCGUGCGGUGGGAGGAGUCGCGCACUGGCCGGCGACUAACUGGGGUCCGACUGCUGACCAAGAUAGGAGGGACCCGGACCACGGAGACAGAGACCCCGGCAUCACGACCCCCGAGGACCUCCUCUCCUCGCCCUGUGGCACCCACUAGUCCUGGACACUCAGCCGCGGAGAGCCCCCGACCCCGUGCUCCCAGCCCCGGGGGAGCCCGCCUCCGCCCCGCGGCCCGCCCGGGCCAUGCUCCCCCGGGGCA
rnacentral:sRNA from 1 species